GACGAACGCUGGCGGCGUGCCUAAUACAUGCAAGUAGAACGCAGUUGCGAACGGGUGAGUAACGCGUAGGUAACUGCCUGGUAGCGGGGGAUAACUAUUGGAAACGAUAGCUAAUACCGCAUACUACCAGAUGGACCUGCGUUGUAUUAGCUAGUUGGUUAGGUAACGGCUCCACAAGGCAACGAUACAUCGCCGACCGGUGAGGGGGAUCGGCCCAACUGGGAACGGGAAACGGCCCAGACUCCUACGGGAGGCAGCAGGAGGGAAUCUUCGGCAAUGGGGGGAACCCUGACCGAGCAACGCCGCGUGAGUGAAGGAGGUUUUCGGAUCGUAAAGCUAUGUUGUUAAGGAAGCGGUACUUAACCAGAAAGGGACGGCUAACUACGUGCCAGCCGCCGCGGUAAUAC
rnacentral:rRNA from 1 species